GAAGUUGGCCGGAUAGUCGCCGAGUGCAAUUGCGCUAGGAGGAAAGUCCGGGCUCCAUAGAGCAAAGUGCUAGUUAACGGCUAGGCGCAGUGAUGCGACGGAAAGUGCAGCAGAAAAUAAACCGCCU
rnacentral:RNase_P_RNA from 1 species